GAGGAAUAUUGGUCAAUGGACGAGAGUCUGAACCAGCCAAGUAGCGUGAAGGAUGACUGCCCUAUGGGUUGUAAACUUCUUUUAUACGGGAAUAAAGUGAGGCACGUGUGCCUUUUUGUAUGUACCGUAUGAAUAAGGAUCGGCUAACUCCGUGCCAGCAGCCGCGGUAAUACGGAGGAUCCGAGCGUUAUCCGGAUUUAUUGGGUUUAAAGGGAGCGUAGGCGGACGCUUAAGUCAGUUGUGAAAGUUUGCGGCUCAACCGUAAAAUUGCAGUUGAUACUGGGUGUCUUGAGUACAGUAGAGGCAGGCGGAAUUCGUGGUGUAGCGGUGAAAUGCUUAGAUAUCACGAAGAACUCCGAUUGCGAAGGCAGCUUGCUGGACUGUAACUGACGCUGAUGCUCGAAAGUGUGGGUAUCAAACAGGAUUAGAUACCCUGGUAGUCCACACAGUAAACGAUGAAUACUCGCUGUUUGCGAUAUACAGUAAGCGGUCAAGCGAAAGCGUUAAGUAUUCCACCUGGGGAGUACGCCGGCAACGGUGAAACUCAAAGGAAUUGACGGGGGCCCGCACAAGCGGAGGAACAUGUGGUUUAAUUCGAUGAUACGCGAGGAACCUUACCCGGGCUUGAAUUGCAACUGAAUGAUGUGGAGACAUGUCAGCCGCAAGGCAGUUGUGAAGGUGCUGCAUGGUUGUCGUCAGCUCGUGCCGUGAGGUGUCGGCUUAAGUGCCAUAACGAGCGCAACCCUUAUCGAUAGUUACCAUCAGGUUAUGCUGGGGACUCUGUCGAGACUGCCGUCGUAAGAUGUGAGGAAGGUGGGGAUGACGUCAAAUCAGCACGGCCCUUACGUCCGGGGCUACACACGUGUUACAAUGGGGGGUACAGAAGGCAGCUACACGGCGACGUGAUGCUAAUCCCGAAAGCCUCUCUCAGUUCGGAUUGGAGUCUGCAACCCGACUCCAUGAAGCUGGAUUCGCUAGUAAUCGCGCAUCAGCCACGGCGCGGUGAAUACGUUCCCG
rnacentral:rRNA from 1 species